rnacentral:lncRNA from 1 species
CUGUCUGUUGUUGGUUCCUAAGACAGGCAGUCACCUUGGCAGCAUCUCUCCACCUCACUCUCUCCCCCACAGCCACUGACAGCUCCUUCCAGGAGGCCUCCUGAACUCCAUUUUCUGUUGUUCUACUCUGUACACCCACUGCACCAGUCUUCAGGAUCUGCGUCUCACCUUUCCUAACUCAGAGAUCCCGGGGCCAGCCAGCCUUCACUGAGACUGUCACCUCCGUGGGACUCUACAUCUUCAUUUUGAAUUUUACUCAUUAUCAUCUCCUCACGUUGUUCCCAAAGCUCUGAAGUCGAUAGCUCCUCCUACUCUCAUCAUACCUCAAAAUCACUUCUGUAUCCUUGCAGGGUCCAGAAAUACCGGAAGCAAGAAAGGAAAAGCACAAAGCUUCCCUUCCAAGGUGCUCAUCAGGCGGGAGAAAGUGUGCAUCUAAGAUGCGUGGAAAGGAAGCAGCCACUGGAAACAUCCAAAGAGAACUCCUUCGAACAAGUAAGGGGAAGAGACGGAAGGCCUCCCCACCGAUUCCCACAACCGAGCUCCGCCCACCUUAUCGCAGCCUGCCCCAUCCACUCGAAGAGUUGUCUAAGCUCUACAAGUGCCAGGCGCUGCUGGGAAAGAGGGUAAAUAAUGGGCCGCAAACUCUAUUAUGCUUUUUUUCUUCACAUCUUAUAGAGGCUGUUGGAAUGAAGAAAAUAAAAAUUAAUGCAAGAG